rnacentral:tmRNA from 1 species
GGGGGUGAAAGGUCUCGACUUAAGUUACUUUGCUAAAAGAUGCAUGCCGAGGUUGCAAGGAGGCCUCGUUAAACACCUUGCAGAUCAAUAGCUGCCGACUAUUGUCCGGUAGCAGAAGUCCUUCCUGCCUAAUUCCCAGGAAGGCCUCUCUUUAGGUUUGCCUAUGGCCUAAGGAGAGAAUUUUAAUAGGCUGCGCUUGCUCGAGUUAGCUCUUGUAGAGCAAGCUAAGAAAAAAGAGCUGGCUAUGCUUAAUCCUGUCUACCGGAGUAAGCAUAGCGAGAAAUAAAAGAUAGACUAAGCAUGUAGUAUCUUUUAGCAAAGAACUUAAGGACGCGGGUUCGAUUCCCGCCACCUCCACCA